CCUACGAGAGGCAGCAGUGAGGAAUAUUGGUCAAUGGGCGCGAGCCUGAACCAGCCAAGUAGCGUGAGGGAUGAAGGUUCUAUGGAUCGUAAACCUCUUUUAUAAGGGAAUAAAGUGCGGGACGUGUCCCGUCUUGUAUGUACCUUAUGAAUAAGGAUCGGCUAACUCCGCGCCAGCAGCCGCGGUAAUACGGAGGAUCCGAGCGUUAUCCGGAUUUAUUGGGGUUAAAGGGUGCGUAGGCGGCAUUUUAAGUCAGCUGUGAAAGUCUGUGGCUCAACCAUAGAAUUGCCGUUGAAACUGGGAGGCUUGAGUAUGUGUGAGGCAGGCGGAAUGUGUGGUGUAGCGGUGAAAUGCUUAGAUAUCACGCAGAACCCCGAUUGCGAAGGCAGCCGGCCAAGCCAUGACUGACGCUGAUGCACGAAAGCGUGGGGAUCAAACAGGAUGAGAUACCCGAGUAGUC
rnacentral:rRNA from 1 species